rnacentral:rRNA from 1 species
UACGUAGGGUCCGAGCGUUGUCCAGAAUUCUGGGCGUAAAGAGCUCGUAGGUGGUUUGUCGCGUUGUUCGUGAAAACUCACAGCUCAACUGUGGGCGUGCGGGCGAUACGGGCAGACUAGAGUACUGCAGGGGAGACUGGAAUUCCUGGUGUAGCGGUGGAAUGCGCAGAUAUCAGGAGGAACACCGGUGGCGAAGGCGGGUCUCUGGGCAGUAACUGACGCUGAGGAGCGAAAGCGUGGGGGAGCGAACAGG